rnacentral:rRNA from 1 species
AUUGAACGCUGGCGGCAUGCUUUACACAUGCAAGUCGAACGGUAACAGGCCGCAAGGUGCUGACGAGUGGCGAACGGGUGAGUAAUGCAUCGGAACGUGCCCAGUCGUGGGGGAUAACUACUCGCAAGAGUAGCUAAUACCGCAUACGAUCUAUGGAUGAAAGCGGGGGACCGUAAGGCGUCGCGCGAUUGGAGCGGCCGAUGUCAGAUUAGGUAGUUGGUGGGGUAAAGGCUCACCAAGCCAACGAUCUGUAGCUGGUCUGAGAGGACGACCAGCCACACUGGGACUGAGACACGGCCCAGACUCCUACGGGAGGCAGCAGUGGGGAAUUUUGGACAAUGGGCGCAAGCCUGAUCCAGCAAUGCCGCGUGCAGGAAGAAGGCCUUCGGGUUGUAAACUGCUUUUGUACGGAACGAAACGGCUCUGGUUAAUACCCGGGGCUAAUGACGGUACCGUAAGAAUAAGCACCGGCUAACUACGUG